AAGGACAUAGGUAGCAAAAACAAUAAAAGAUUUCUAGCCCACGGAUUGGGAUGUCUUCACUAGCUAUACAACAUACAAGGGUCUCAUAUCUAAAAUAUACAUAGAAUGCAAAAAAUUAAAUCCCCC